rnacentral:lncRNA from 1 species
CGGUGUUGUGUAAAGAAUAAUAUAGAAGAGUAAGUACCUGCAUGCAGGUGUCGUCCCAAUCGUGGCCGAAUCGGAUGAUGACGACGCGUUCUUCCUCGGUGAGGAUGGCCUGAUCGACGGCCCAACCUGAGUGAAGGUGCGGCAACAGGUACGACAUCGUUUCGCUUCUCUAUUUUUUAUUUUUCCUCUUCUCGUGAAUGCUCUAGAAAUCUCCAAUUGGAAUUGAAAAUAGUGGUUACCGAGGCCGGGGCAAAAAGAGUGGCCUCGGAAAUUUAUAGGGUCGUUCAAAUCAAUGAAGCGAAGCGUCUAGAAGACAAGUCGCUGAUAAAAUCCCACCAACAUUGCUUCUAAUUUUG